rnacentral:lncRNA from 1 species
AUUCUCUCUUUAUCUUUAAUGCUUGACAUUUUAAUUAUAAUGUGUCUUAGUGUGUGCCUCUUUGAGUUUAUCUGGUCUGGUACUCUCUGUGCUUCCUGUACUUGGAUUUCUGUUUACUUCCUGAGGUUGGGAAAAUUUUCAGCUGUUAUUUCUUUGAAUACAUUCUCUGCCUUUUAUCUCUCUCUUCUGCUUCUGAGACACCUGUAAGAUGGAUGUUUGUGUGCUUGAUGUUGUUCCAGAAGUAUCUUAGACUAUCCUUGUUCUUCUUAAUUAUUUUUUCCUUUAUCUGUUCAUCUUGGGUGAUUUCCUCUAGUCUUUCAUCCAGUUUGCUGAUCUGUUCUUCUGUAUCAUCUACUCUGCUAAUGAUAGCCUCUAGUGAAUUGUUCAUUUCCAGGAUUGUAUUCUUCAUUUCUGAUUGGUUCUUUUUUAUAUUUUCCAAUUUUUUGUUGAAGUUCUCACUAAGUUCAUCCAUUCUUCUCCCAAGGUCAGUGAGCAUUGUUAUGACUUUUCAUUUGAGCUCUUUGUCAGGUAGAUUGUUUAUUUUUUUUCAUUUAGUUCUUUUUCUUGCUGUUUUCCUGUUCCCUUACUUGGAAUGUAUUCAUUUUCAUCCUCAUUUUGCCUCUUUCUCUAUUCUUAUAUCAAUUUAUUAGGUAAGUCAGCUAUGUCUCCUGAUCUUGGAGAGGUGGCCUUAUGUUAGAGAUGCUGUAUGAGGCCCAGCAGUGUGCUUCCCUCUCAUCACCAGUGCCAAGUGUUCUAGUGGUGACUCCUGUGUGUCCUCCUGUUGUGUCAGGGUUGCUCUUGCUGCAGGUGCCCAGGGAGGCUAGGCUGUUCCCCUGGCCAAUUGGUUGUAAUGUUCUGCUGUGUGUAACUGCUAUGGGCCCUUCAGUCCCUUUAUCAUUCAUGGGGUGCCCCAGCACAGUUGGCUGCAAAGUCUAACAGCACAUUCAUGUUGUAGUUUUUCUGUUAAAUGACUAGGCCUCCAGAAUGGCUGAUUGCUAGGCUGAGGGGCUUACAAUUGCUGUAUGCCUCCAGCCUACAAGGCUCCUGUCAGCUUUCUCAGGGUUGUGCCUGAGUGGGGCUGGCCCUAGCCAUGGGAGCACUCAAUUGUUUCAGGUUUUGGAAGGUGGGGCCAAUCCCCUAUGUAGCUGUCUGAGAAGAACAAGUCUUUUGCCACUGGCAAGCCCCACCACCCACAGGGCCACACAAUCUGUCAACAGAGUCCUGCCCCACGUGUACAACCUCACCCACUGAAGCAGACCCAGUUGUCCCAGUGCAGAGGCCCCACACAUUCCACCAGUGCCUGACACACUCCACCUGUUCUUUGUGCGUGCCCUUCCCCUCAGAGGUGGACACACUUACUGGGCUACAGAGGAUCCAGGCACCCAGCUAUGCAUGCCCACAAGUUGCUUGAGGGCUUGCUGUUGGGUGGUGCCAGGCUUUAGGGCAGGCUGCUUGCCCCAGCUGAGCUGAAUUAAAUUGGCUCCCUAGUGCACAGGGCAAAUCCUGGGUUGACAGGCCAGUGGAAGAACACCAAUGACAUCUGCCAGCAUCUGUGUCAGUAAGCCUGAACUAGGUCACAAUAAUGGCUGACGCCAAUGUCUCAGUCCCUGGAGAAGUCUCACCUCUCACUGAGAUGCACCCAGAGCCUAUUAGGAAGAUUCGCCCUGAUCUAAAAUCUGCUGCCAAUCCUCCUCUUUUUUGCUGAGGAAGACCAGCCCUGAGCUAACAUCUGUGCCCAUCUUCCUCUAUUUCACGUGGGACGCCUGCCACAGCACGGCUUGAUAAGCGAAUGCACACACAUUGUUGGAGCAGUCACUCCAAAGCCAGUGUAAAGCCAGUGCAAGGCAGAAAAGCUGAAAUGGACGGAAGUGUUCAGUACGUGUGAAGCCAAGAUUUGGGAGUGGCCACCUGAAGAGUCACCUGUCAGCAGCCCCACUCAGCUUCCCUGUUUGCUGGCCCCCAGUUGGCAGCACCUUGGGCUGAGUGAGCUCCAUGGGAACUGGGAAGAGGAAUUCCUCCAGAAAUUCCACAGGCCCCUUCUGUAAUGGACAGUGCCUGUUCUGCAACUGGCUGCUGAGCUAGACAUCCAGGAGGUAGAACAGUUUUCUUGUUGUCCUCAGUACCCUGUAGAUGAGCAGCGAGUGCUCAUUAUCUUCAGUGUGCUCACUGCCUGCAAGACAGUGGAGUUUGAGUCCAUUUUAUGGUCUCCCUCAGAGAAGCCAGGGACGAGUCCACUUUAAUCUGGCGGUGACUGGCCAAAGAGUGCCUGGAAGCUGUAAGCCCC